rnacentral:rRNA from 1 species
UAAUACGAAGGGAGCUAGCGUUGUUCGGAAUUACUGGGCGUAAAGGGCGCGUAGGCGGUUUGACAAGUUGGAUGUGAAAGCCCUGGGCUCAACCCGGGAAUUGCAUUCAAGACUGUUUUACUUGAAUUCGGUAGAGGUUGGUAGAAUUCCCAGUGUAGAGGUGAAAUUCGUAGAGAUUGGGAAGAAUACCCGUGGCGAAGGCGGCCAACUGGACCGACAUUGACGCUGAGGCGCGAAAGCGUGGGUAGCAAACAGGAUUAGAUACCCUGGUAGUCCACGCCGUAAACGAUGCAUGCUAGACGUUCGAACCAUCAUGGUUCAAGUGUCGCAGCUAACGCACUAAGCAUGCCGCCUGGGGAGUACGGCCGCAAGGUUG